rnacentral:lncRNA from 1 species
GUCUUUCAAGACAAGAUGAUCAAGAGUGAACAGCUGAGAGUAAUGGCAUACUUUUCCCCCUUUAUUAGGAUUCCCUGGUAAGUCCAUCUUUCUAGGUUCGAUAGGUACGUAGUCGGGUUACUGAAUUCGCUUUCGAGCUAACUGUAUCGGAUGAAAUGGCAGCAAAGUUGUUAGCAUACAUUAAAAGCUUCGUUCUUUUAAUUUAAUAAGUAGCUG